CCUACGGGAGGCAGCAGUAGGGAAUCUUUCACAAUGGGCGAAAGCCUGAUGGAGCAACGCCGCGUGCAGGAUGAAGGCCUUCGGGUUGUAAACUGCUUUUAUAAGCGAGAAAUAUGAUGGUAACUUAUGAAUAAGGCUCGGCUAACUACGUGCCAGCAGCCGCGGUCAUACGUAGGAUCCGAGCAUUAUCCGGAGUGACUGGGUGUAAAGAGUUGCGUAGGUGGCAUAAUAAGUAGCUAGUGAAAUCUGGUGGCUCAACCAUUCAGACUAUUAGCUAAACUGUUAAGCUCGAGACCGUUAGGGGUAACUGGAAUUUCUAGUGUAGGAGUGAAAUCCGUAGAUAUUAGAAGGAACCCCAAUAGCGUAGGCAGGUUGCUGGGACGGGUCUGACACUAAGGCACGAAAGCGUAGGGAGCAAACGGGAUUAGAUACCCCAGUAGUC
rnacentral:rRNA from 1 species